rnacentral:rRNA from 1 species
AUUGAACGCUGGCGGCAGGCCUAACACAUGCAAGUCGAACGAGUGGCGGACGGGUGAGUAAUGUCUGGGAAACUGCCCGAUGGAGGGGGAUAACUACUGGAAACGGUAGCUACUCCCGCAUCCCAUCGGAUGUGCCCCGAUGGGAUUAGCUAGUAGGUGGGGUAACGGGGCACCUAGGCGACGAUCCCUAGCUGGUCUGAGAGGAUGACAAGCCACACGGGAACUGAGGCACGGGCCAGACUCCUACGGGAGGCAGCGGUGGGGAAGUGGGCGCAAUGGGCGAAAGCCUGAUGCAGCCAUGCCGCGUGGAUGAGUAGGGCAUUCGGGUUGUAAAGUACUUUAAGCGAGGAGGCGUUACUCGCAGAAGAAGCACCGGCUAACUCCGUGCCAGCAGCCGCGGUAAUUC